GUGCACCAGUCGCGAAACCUCCGCAAUACACGAAAGUGUGACGGGGCCAUCCCGAGUGCCGUCCGCCGAGGACGGCUUUUCCCCAGUGUACACAGCUGGGGGAAUAAGGAGAGGGCAAGCCUGGUGUCAGCCGCCGCGGUAAUACCAGCUCUCCGAGUGGUGGGGACGCUUAUUGGGCCUAAAGCAUCCGUAGCCGGCUGGGCAAGUCCUCCGUUAAAUCCAACGAUUCAAUCGUUGGGCUGCGGGGGAUACUGUCCAGCUUGGGGGCGGGAGAGGCCGACGGUAUUCCCGGGGUAGGGGUGAAAUCCUAUAAUCCCGGGAGGACCACCAGUGGCGAAGGCUGUCGGCUAGAACGCGCCCGACGGUGAGGGAUGAAAGCUGGGGGAGCGAACCGGAUUAGAUACCCCCGUAGU
rnacentral:rRNA from 1 species